AUGCACGCUGGCGGCGUGCCUAAUCCAUGCAAGUCGCGCGAACGGACGAGAAGCUUGCUUUUCUGAUGUUAGCGGCGGACGGGUGAGUAACACGUGGAUAACCUACCUAUAAGACUGGGAUAACUUCGGGAAACCGGAGCUAAUACCGGAUAAUAUUUUGAACCGCAUGGUUCAAAAGUGAAAGACGGUCUUGCUGUCACUUAUAGAUGGAUCCGCGCUGCAUUAGCUAGUUGGUAAGGUAACGGCUUACCAAGGCAACGAUGCAUAGCCGACCUGAGAGGGUGAUCGGCCACUCUGGAACUGAGACACGGUCCAGACUCCUACGGGAGGCAGCAGUAGGGAAUCUUCCGCAAUGGGCGAAAGCCUGACGGAGCAACGCCGCGUGAGUGAUGAAGGUCUUCGGAUCGUAAAACUCUGUUAUUAGGGAAGAACAUAUGUGUAAGUAACUGUGCACAUCUUGACGGUACCUAAUCAGAAAGCCACGGCUAACUACGUG
rnacentral:rRNA from 1 species